rnacentral:rRNA from 1 species
GACGAACGCUGGCGGCGUGCCUAAUACAUGCAAGUCGAACGCAGUGGGGACGGGUGAGUAACACGUGGGUAACCUCCCAUCAGAGGGGAUAACACUUGGAAACAGGUGCUAAACCGAUACUGAUGGAUGGACCCGCGGUGCAUGAGCUAGUUGGGGAGGUAACGGCUCACCAAGGCCACGAUGCAUAGCGGACCUGAGAGCGUGUUAGGCAACAUGGGUACUGAAGCACGGCCCAGUCCCCUACGGUGGGCCUCGGUAGGGAUACUGCGGCAAUGGACGAAAGUCUGACCGAGCCACGCCGCGUGAGUGAAGAAGUUUUUCGGAUCGUAAAACUCUGUUGUUAGAGAAGCGGUAUCUAACCAGAAAGCCACGGCUAACUCCGUGCCAGCAGCCGCGGUAAUAC